CCUACGGGAGGCUGCAGUGAGGAAUAUUGGUCAAUGGGCGCGAGCCUGAACCAGCCAAGUAGCGUGAAGGAUGACUGCCCUACGGGUUGUAAACUUCUUUUAUAAAGGAAUAAAGUGAGGCACGAGUGCAGUUUUGAAUGUACUUUAUGAAUAAGGAUCGGCUAACUCCGUGCCAGCAGCCGCGGUAAUACGGAGGAUCCGAGCGUUAUCAGGUUUUAUUGGGUUUAAAGGGAGCGUAGAUGGGUUUUUAAGUCAGUUGUGAAAGUUUGCGGCUCAACCGAAGAAUUGCAGUUGAUACUGGCAGUCUUGAGUACAGUUGAGGUAGGCGGAAUUCGUGGUGUAGCGGUGAAAUGCUUAGAUAUCACGAAGAACUCCGAUUGCGAAGGCAGCUUACUAGACUGCCACUGACGUUGAUGCUCGAAAGUGUGGGUAUCAAACAGGAUUAGAUACCCUAGUAGUC
rnacentral:rRNA from 1 species